CGAGCUGAGAAAAAGGCCAGGAGGCAGCAGAGCUUGGGGUGCUCCAGCAUGGCCCGCGCCGUGUCCUCCCUUCCCGCCCGUGAGGCCCAUCCCGAACCCCAACUUUUCCCCAGCCAGGGACCCGUGUGCCCAAACCGCACGGGUGACCGUGGAUGACCGGUGGGCCAGGAAUGGGGUACAGGGCUUAAACCCUUUGUCUGUCAGCAAGUCGUGCUCCUGGAUGGACUUUAACCCCGGCUACGAGGCACGGACGCGGGACACCCCACUACCCACCUCCCCUCUUGGGAAGCCCACAGAUACUUUUGAAGACCCCCAAAGCCCGGAGGACCCAGCAGCUCCCGGAGCAGCCCGCUUCUCCCUCGCCCCUCUCCGGGGCAAACUGUCCUUUUUAGAAGUGCAAAAGAGCAAAUCCGGGGCUCCAGGAGGCAGCCGGGGAUGGGCAGGCCCCCUCCAUCAGCAUCGGUGUCCUCAGCAAGAGCUGGUACCUGUGGGAUGGCAGCGACUCAGGGAUUUUUUGGAUCCUGCAGCAGACCGUAGUUUUCUCGGAGCUCCACAGUCUCCUCUCUUUGAAGUUGGACAGAUACAGUAAACACAACAAAUAUAUGAUACAACCCA